UUAGGGUUGGCCCUGACCUAGUUUGACCAGUGUCCUUAUGAAAACGCAGAAGUUGGACAAAGACACACCCACAGGGAAAGCACCAUGAGAAGAUGACGGCAGAGAUCUGGGCGACGCGUCUACAAGCCAAGCGACACCAAAGGUGGCCAGCAGCCCAUGUGAAGCUGGAGGAGAGGCCUCGAAUAAAUGCUCCCUUACAGCGUUCAGGGGGAACUGACCCUGUCCACACCUUGACCUUGAACUUCUGGGCUCCAGAACUGUGAGACAGCAUGUUCUGUUGUUGAAGGAGCAGCGUGGCUAGAGGAAUUCCUGCAGCUUAGAUUUCGCUGGCACUGUUACCACUCCCAGAGAGGAGCGGCUGGAGUUCACGGCUGGUUCCUGACAAACUUCCUAAUUAAUCUGCUAAAGAUCAGAGGAGGACUAAUAGGAGCUGAAGACUGUGUGCGAGACCACCCCUCCGCCCUCUCCCUUUGUGUGUGCACGUGUGUGUGUGUGUGUGUGUGAGCGCGUGCGCGCAUGUGGUGCUGAGCUUGGCGGGAGAGAGAUGGCCUCACCAGCGACAAAGCAUUCCUGCUGCUGUUGCUGCCACCUACCUUCCCUGCUUUGGGAGGAUACAUUUUCUCCUCUUGCUUAGAAGUUUCAGGGAGUCACCCAAGCCUUCUUCUCCCAGAUACAACGGUGGAAUAAAAUAUCUUCCAGCCAACAUAUUUUUUGGAGACGGAAUCUCACUCUGUCACCUGGUUGAAGUGCAGCAGCGCGAUCAUGGCUCACUGCAACCUCUGCCUCCCGGUUUCAAGUGAUUCUCCUGCCUCCGCCUCCCGAGUAGCUGGGAUUACAGGCAUGUGCCACCCACCACGCCUGGGUAAUUUUUGUAUUUUUACUAGAGACAGGGUUUCACUAUGUGGGCUGGGCUGGUCUCAAACUCCUGACCUCUGGUGAUCUGCCCACUUCGGCCUCUCAAAGUGCUGGGAUUACAGGCAUGAGCCCCCGCACCCGGUUGCAACCAACUUUUUUGUGGAAUAUAGGAUCUUGAUGUUUGGAUGCCUGAAGGCAGAAGCUGUUGCACAUGGAAUGGAUUAAAGUUUUCCCCUCUGCAACCAAAAAUCCUUGGGGUCCCAGGAGCAAAAGAUGCUCCAUGGCACAGGACAAUUCAAGAAGGCCCGAGGUGAUAUUGAAGACUGCAGAGACAUCCAGCUCAGUUGUGUCUCCGGAGGUGUCCAGACUUUGCAGACAGACGUUGCACAUAAAGAGCUGAAAAACUGAGGAAGCUGAGCUGGAGAAGGAAGUCACUUCUACUCAGACUUGACCUGCGUCUGAUGCUAUGGGGCCUCUUAGGGUUACCUCAUGCUUCAUGCACCCCUUUCUCUGUUCUUCAGCAGAAGGCAGGGUGUAGGGAAGCGGGACUGUGCCUCCUUUCUCCCUGCCAGGCCUGACUCUCCAGGCCAAGAGACACCAUUAAGGAGUAUAAUUUGUUGAUCCAGGCUCUCCUUGCGUUUCAGUGCAGAGUGGCAUCGUUUUCUUUAUGACCUCGUAAAGUCACAGCCGAGAGGCCGAUUUGGAAAACAAACUGCCUCAGGUUGACAGAUAAUUAGAUACAGGGGACAUAUUAUAUGCCUUUGCAUAUAAAUGUGCUCCGAGGCGUGUUGGUUCAUCUGAAGUUGAGGUUAAAGGCGCGCCAGCAGGAUCUUGGCAGUGGACUGCCACGGGAGCUCUGGGGAAAAAGGACCAGUUGGACUCCAGUACCUCCUGAGAGACCACCACCCUCCAUGCCUCCAGCUCAUGCCCAGCUCUGAGUCAGACGGACUCUUCCUGUUGUACUGCGAGGUUCUGCAAACCUUGAAGGGCAAACACAGUGAGGGUCUCUGACUUGCUGUGUGGACAGCCCACUCUCUGACAGCCCAGAUCAUCUGAAGCUAUCCCUGGGCUGGGAGCUGGAAGCCAUUCUUGUGAACCACUCCUUAUACCUUGAGCGAAGCCUCUUUGGGUCCCAGAAGUCUGAAGCUCCAGCUGCCUGGCAAGACUGAGUCUAGAUGAUUUCUUGGGUACCAGUAGUUUGGCAUUUAAAAAUACUGGAUUAACUGCAGUGUAAACUUAGAUUGCAUUUCAGAUUGUAAACAAUAACCCCCGUGCUUCAUGUGAUGUUAAAUCAGAAAUGAGCUAUUAGCCAAGCUAGUCCUCUUAUGAAUGAGCCCCUAACCCUGAUCCAGGGAUCGUUGAAUGAAAAUCAUCAAAAUGAUUUAUCUUCACUUUACCUAUUGUCUCACAAGAAUCUCAUCACUCAGGGAAAAGGAGGGUGUUCUUCAGGGAACGGAGGGCAUGAGGAAGGGGGAUUUCCUUAUAUCUCAACUUUCAGAGGGAGCUGAGUUGUAAACAGAUGGAACAAGGUGUGUACGAGAAGCCUCUUAGAUUUAGUCUUUCAUAUCAAGGCUCUUGCUGAAAAUCCUGGCACAGCUGUGAAAUGAGGGGAGCUCUGACACACAGAGACACGCUCCUUGCCUCACCAACCUUCCCAUACACAGUCAUGCGCACAGAGAGCAGGUACCAAUACUGAAAAUGCCCUUCCGGAGUUUCCUCAGCUUAAACCCUUGACAGCAUUAAGUGAGGAAGGAGUUUCCUUGACCUGGGGAAGAAGAACCAACUCAUAAACAUGGAACUGUG
rnacentral:lncRNA from 1 species